rnacentral:rRNA from 1 species
UACCAGCUCUCCGAGUGGUGUGGAUGUUUAUUGGGCCUAAAGCAUCCGUAGCUGGCUGGGCAAGUCCCCUGUUAAAUCCACCGAUUUAAUCGUUGGUGUGCGGGGGAUACUGUUCGGCUAGGGGACGGGAGAGGCCGACGGUAUUUUCGGGGUAGGGGUGAAAUCCUAUAAUCCCGGGAAGACCACCAGUGGCGAAGGCUGGCGGCUAGAACGCGCCCGACGGUGAGGGAUGAAAGCUGGGGGAGCGAACCGGAUUAGAUACCCGGGUAGUCCCAGCUGUAAACGAUGCAGGCUAGGUGUUUGGGCGGCCACGUGCCGCUCUAGUGCCGCAGAGAAGUCGUUAAGCCUGCCGCCUGGGGAGUACGGCCGCAAGGCUGAAACUUAAAGGAAUUGGCGGGGGAGCACCACAAGGGGUGAAGCUUGCGGUUU